rnacentral:rRNA from 1 species
AGUGAACGCUGGCGGUAGGCCUAACACAUGCAAGUCGAACGGUAGCACAGUAAGAGCUUGCUCUUACGGGUGGCGAGUGGCGGGGGGGUGAGGAAUACAUCGGAAUCUACUUUUUCGGGGGGGAUAACGUGGGAAAACUUACGCUAAUACCGCAUACGACCUACGGGUGAAAGCAGGGGAUCUUCGGACCUUGCGCGAUUGAAUGAGCCGAUGUCGGAUUAGCUAGUUGGCGGGGUAAAGGCCCACCAAGGCGACGAUCCGUAGCUGGUCUGAGAGGAUGACCAGCCACACUGGAACUGAGACACGGUCCAGACUCCUACGGGAGGCAGCAGUGGGGAAUAUUGGACAAUGGGCGCAAGCCUGAUGCAGCCAUACCGCGUGGGUGAAGAAGGCCUUCGGGUUGUAAAGUCCGUUUGUUGGGAAGGAAGGGCGGAAGGUUAAUACCCUCCUGCUCUGACGGUACCCAAAGAAUAAGCACCGGCUAACUUCGUG